ACGCUGGCGGCGUGCUUAACACAUGCAAGUCGAACGAAAAGAGGGGAAGAGCUUGCUCUUUCCGGAAUUGAGUGGCAAACGGGUGAGUAACACGUAAACAACCUGCCUUCAGGAUGGGGACAACAGACGGAAACGACUGCUAAUACCGAAUAAGUUCCAAGAGCCGCAUGGCCCAUGGAAGAAAAGGUGGCCUCUACCUGUAAGCUAUCGCCUGAAGAGGGGUUUGCGUCUGAUUAGCUGGUUGGAGGGGUAACGGCCCACCAAGGCGACGAUCAGUAGCCGGUCUGAGAGGAUGAACGGCCACACUGGAACUGAGACACGGUCCAGACUCCUACGGGAGGCAGCAGUGGGGAAUCUUCCGCAAUGGGCGAAAGCCUGACGGAGCAACGCCGCGUGAGUGAUGACGGCCUUCGGGUUGUAAGACUCUGUGAUCCGGGACGAAAAGGCAGAGUGCGAAGAACAAACUGCAUCGACGGCACCGGAAAAGCAAGCCACGGCUAACUACGUGCCAGCAGCCGCGGUAAUACGUAGGUGACAAGCGUUGUCCGGAAUUAUUGGGCGUAAAGCGCGCGCAGGCGGCUUCCCAAGUCCCUCUUAAAAGUGCGGGGCUUAACCCCGAGAUGGGAAGGAAACUGGGAAGCUGGAGUAUCGGAGAGGAAAGUGGAAUUCCUAGUGUAGCGGUGAAAUGCGUAGAGAUUAGGAAGAACACCGGUGGCGAAGGCGACUUUCUGGACGAAAACUGACGCUGAGGCGCGAAAGCGUGGGGAGCAAACAGGAUUAGAUACCCUGGUAGUCCACGCCGUAAACGAUGGAUACUAGGUGUAGGAGGUAUCGACCCCUCCUGUGCCGGAGUUAACGCAAUAAGUAUCCCGCCUGGGAAGUACGAUCGCAAGAUUAAAACUCAAAGGAAUUGACGGGGG
rnacentral:rRNA from 1 species